rnacentral:tRNA from 2 species
GCCGUUUUAGCUCAGUUGGCAGAGCACUUCACUAGUAAUGAAGGGGUCGCUGGUUCGAAUCCAGUAAACGGCA